GAGGUAAAAAGCAUUGAAAGGUAGCAGCAAAGAGAUAGUUGAAGUGACCACAGAGUGCUUGUUCUUGCUUGACAGAGUGGCGGCCCUUAAAGGAAUGUCUGGAAAACUGCCCGAUGAAGGGGGAUCACUUCUGGAAACGGUGGCUAAUACCGCAAAACCUUCCCGGACCAAAGGGGGGGAUCUUCGGCCCUCCCACCAUCAG
rnacentral:rRNA from 1 species